rnacentral:ncRNA from 1 species
UACUUUGGAGAAGCUCAUUCAAUUGAGUGCCGAAGGGGCAAAGCGCCAGCGCGCCAAUCUCUCAGGCAAAAGGACAAAG